UCGAGAAUUUUUCACAAUGGGCGAAAGCCUGAUGGAGCGACGCCGCGUGGGGGAUGAAUGGCUUCGGCCCGUAAACCCCUGUCAUUUGCGAACAAUGCGUAUUAUUUAAAAGAUGAUGCGUUGAUAGUAGCAGAAGAGGAAGGGACGGCUAACUCUGUGCCAGCAGCCGCGGUAAUACAGAGGUCCCAAGCGUUGUUCGGAUUCACUGGGCGUAAAGGGUGCGUAGGUGGUCGGGUAAGUCUGAUGUGAAAUCUCUGGGCUCAACCCAGAAAUGGCAUUGGAUACUAUUCGGCUAGAGGAGUGGAGGGGGGACUGGAAUACUUGGUGUAGCAGUGAAAUGCGUAGAUAUCAAGUGGAACACCAGUGGCGAAGGCGAGUCCCUGGACACUUCCUGACACUGAGGCACGAAAGCUAGGGGAGCAAACAG
rnacentral:rRNA from 1 species